AAACUACUUCAACAAGAUUUGUUCUAAUAGGUUAUACAUUUGUGUCUUUGAAUUCUAUGGAGCCAAGAAUCGAAAUCUGGAGGAUGAGCCACUACCCUGUGGCUAGAGUGUGAGAUUAAUGGCUCAACGGGCUUCGGUCCUGUGGCUGUAGAGGAUCGUUCUUGGUAGACUAUGUUCUGCUAGGUUGGUUGCAAGGCAGUGUGAAAGACU